rnacentral:rRNA from 1 species
AAACGAGAUAAACCCGAAAGAUCGAAUGGGGAGAUUCAUCGUCAGCGAUUCUGGUACGUGUGCGGCUCGCGAUGUUAGAGGCUUCGGUCUCAUGGCACGCGUCCGCAUGUUUUUUAUUGCUUGAAUCGUCGGCGUGCACUUCUCCCCUAGUAGGACGUCGCGACCCGUUGGGUGUCGGUCUACGGCACGGUAGGGUAGCCUGUCACGUGUGCGCUUCACGGCGUUACGCGGGUCAGACCUCCGUUCGCCCGACCGGCGCCCGGCGGUACUCGCAAGGUAUCUGGCCGCAGACAUACGAACUGCGUCCGGCCCGUCGCAAGCGCGGCAAGUGUUUCCCGGCUGUACGGAUCUAAUGCCGUCACCGGGCCUUGCCAGCUGUUGGUUGACGGUGUCCUAGGACUGGCUAACAGAUACCGGUCGGCGACGCUACUGCUUUGGGUACUUUCAGGACCCGUCUUGAAACACGGACCAAGGAGUCUAACAUGUGCGCGAGUCAUUGGGAGCUAUUAAGCCUAAAGGCGCAAUGAAAGUGAAGAUCGGCCUUGCGCCGAUCGAGGGAGGAUGGGCCGCGUCACGAUGCGGUCCCGCACUCCCGGGGCGUCUCGUUCUCAU